GAACGCUAGCUACAGGCUUAACACAUGCAAGUCGAGGGGCAGCAUGGUCUUAGCUUGCUAAGGCCGAUGGCGACCGGCGCACGGGUGAGUAACACGUAUCCAACCUGCCGUCUACUCUUGGACAGCCUUCUGAAAGGAAGAUUAAUACAAGAUGGCAUCAUGAGUCCGCAUGUUCACAUGAUUAAAGGUAUUCCGGUAGACGAUGGGGAUGCGUUCCAUUAGAUAGUAGGCGGGGUAACGGCCCACCUAGUCUUCGAUGGAUAGGGGUUCUGAGAGGAAGGUCCCCCACAUUGGAACUGAGACACGGUCCAAACUCCUACGGGAGGCAGCAGUGAGGAAUAUUGGUCAAUGGGCGAGAGCCUGAACCAGCCAAGUAGCGUGAAGGAUGACUGCCCUAUGGGUUGUAAACUUCUUUUAUAAAGGAAUAAAGUCGGGUAUGCAUACCCGUUUGCAUGUACUUUAUGAAUAAGGAUCGGCUAACUCCGUGCCAGCAGCCGCGGUAAUACGGAGGAUCCGAGCGUUAUCCGGAUUUAUUGGGUUUAAAGGGAGCGUAGAUGGAUGUUUAAGUCAGUUGUGAAAGUUUGCGGCUCAACCGUAAAAUUGCAGUUGAUACUGGAUAUCUUGAGUGCAGUUGAGGCAGGCGGAAUUCGUGGUGUAGCGGUGAAAUGCUUAGAUAUCACGAAGAACUCCGAUUGCGAAGGCAGCCUGCUAAGCUGCAACUGACAUUGAGGCUCGAAAGUGUGGGUAUCAAACAGGAUUAGAUACCCUGGUAGUCCACACGGUAAACGAUGAAUACUCGCUGUUUGCGAUAUACGGCAAGCGGCCAAGCGAAAGCGUUAAGUAUUCCACCUGGGGAGUACGCCGGCAACGGUGAAACUCAAAGGAAUUGACGGGGGCCCGCACAAGCGGAGGAACAUGUGGUUUAAUUCGAUGAUACGCGAGGAACCUUACCCGGGCUUAAAUUGCAGAUGAAUUACGGUGAAAGCCGUAAGCCGCAAGGCAUCUGUGAAGGUGCUGCAUGGUUGUCGUCAGCUCGUGCCGUGAGGUGUCGGCUUAAGUGCCAUAACGAGCGCAACCCUUGUUGUCAGUUACUAACAGGUUCCGCUGAGGACUCUGACAAGACUGCCAUCGUAAGAUGUGAGGAAGGUGGGGAUGACGUCAAAUCAGCACGGCCCUUACGUCCGGGGCUACACACGUGUUACAAUGGGGGGUACAGAGGGCCGCUACCACGCGAGUGGAUGCCAAUCCCCAAAACCUCUCUCAGUUCGGACUGGAGUCUGCAACCCGACUCCACGAAGCUGGAUUCGCUAGUAAUCGCGCAUCAGCCACGGCGCGGUGAAUACGUUCCCGGGCCUUGUACACACCGCCCGUCAAGCCAUGGGAGCCGGGGGUACCUGAAGUGCGUAACCGCGAGGAGCGCCCUAGGGUAAAACUGGUGACUGGGG
rnacentral:rRNA from 1 species